GGGGUUGUGGCUCAGUGGUUAAGCACUUGCCUCACAUGUAUGAGUCACUGGGUUCAAUCCUCAGCACCACA
rnacentral:tRNA from 1 species